UCGCCUGUUUAUCAAAAACAUCGCCUCUUGCAAUACACUAAGUAUAAGAGGUCCAGCCUGCCCAGUGACUACGGGUUCAACGGCCGCGGUAUUCUGACCGUGCAAAGGUAGCGCAAUCACUUGUCUCUUAAAUAGAGACCUGUAUGAAUGGCUAGACGAGGGCUUAACUGUCUCCCCCUUCCAGUCAGUGAAAUUGAUCUAUCCGUGCAGAAGCGGGUAUAAAUUUACAAGACGAGAAGACCCUUUGGAGCUUAAGGUACAAAAUUCAACCACGUCAAACGACUCCAUAAGAAGCAAAAACUUAGUGGCACAUGGACCUUUACCUUCGGUUGGGGCGACCAUGGAGGAAAAACGAGCCUCCCAGUGGACCGGGCCAUAACCCCUAAAGCCAAGAGAGACAUCUUUAGGCCGCAGAAUAUCUGACCAACAAUGAUCCGGCCAAUAAAGCCGAUCAACGAACCAAGUUACCCUAGGGAUAACAGCGCAAUCCUCUCCCAGAGUCCAUAUCUACGAGGGGGUUUACGACCUCGAUGUUGGAUCAGGACAUCCUAAUGGUGCAGCCGCUAUUAAGGGUUCGUUUGUUCAACGAUUAAAGUCCUACGUGAUCUGAGUUCAGACCGG
rnacentral:rRNA from 1 species